AUUGAACGCUGGCGGCAUGCUUUACACAUGCAAGUCGAACGGUAACAGGUUAAGCUGACGAGUGACGAACGGGUGAGUAAUGCAUCGGAACGUGCCCGGUCGUGGGGGAUAACGCAGCGAAAGCUGCUCUAAUACCGCAUACGAUCUGAGGAUGAAAGCGGGGGACCGUAAGGCCUCGCGCGAUCGGAGCGGCCGAUGUCAGAUUAGGUAGUUGGUGAGGUAAAGGCUCACCAAGCCAACGAUCUGUAGCUGGUCUGAGAGGACGACCAGCCACACUGGGACUGAGACACGGCCCAGACUCCUACGGGAGGCAGCAGUGGGGAAUUUUGGACAAUGGGCGAAAGCCUGAUCCAGCAAUGCCGCGUGCAGGAAGAAGGCCUUCGGGUUGUAAACUGCUUUUGUACGGAGCGAAAAGGCUCUCUCUAAUACAGGGGGCUCAUGACGGUACCGUAAGAAUAAGCACCGGCUAACUACGUGCCAGCCGCCGCCGUAA
rnacentral:rRNA from 1 species